rnacentral:rRNA from 1 species
AACCCAAUGUGAACGUUACCAAACUGUUGCCUCGGCGGGAUCUCUGCCCCGGGUGCGUCGCAGCCCCGGACCAAGGCGCCCGCCGGAGGACCAACCAAAACUCUUUUUGUAUACCCCCUCGCGGGUUUUUUAUAAUCUGAGCCUUCUCGGCGCCUCUCGUAGGCGUUUCGAAAAUGAAUCAAAACUUUCAACAACGGAUCUCUUGGUUCUGGCAUCGAUGAAGAACGCAGCGAAAUGCGAUAAGUAAUGUGAAUUGCAGAAUUCAGUGAAUCAUCGAAUCUUUGAACGCACAUUGCGCCCGCCAGUAUUCUGGCGGGCAUGCCUGUCCGAGCGUCAUUUCAACCCUCGAACCCCUCCGGGGGGUCGGCGUUGGGGAUCGGCCCUGCCUUGGCGGUGGCCGUCUCCGAAAUACAGUGGCGGUCUCGCCGCAGCCUCUCCUGCGCAGUAGUUUGCACACUCGCAUCGGGAGCGCGGCGCGUCCACAGCCGUUAAACACCCAACUUCUGAAAUGUUGACCUCGGAUCAGGUAGGAAUACCCGCUGAACUUAAGCAUAUCAAUA